AUACCCGCUGAACUUGAGCAUAUCAAUAAGCGGAGGAAAAGAAACCAACAGGGAUUGCCUCAGUAACGGCGAGUGAAGCGGCAAUAGCUCAAAUUUGAAAUCUGGCUCUUUUAGGGUCCGAAUUGUAAUUUGUAGAGGAUGUUUCGGCUUACGCCCCGGUCUAAGUUCCUUGGAACAGGACGUCACAGAGGGUGAGAAUCCCGUUUGUGGCCGGCGGCUUCCGCCAUGUGAAACUCCUUCGACGAGUCGAGUUGUUUGGGAAUGCAGCUCUAAAUGGGAGGUAAAUUUCUUCUAAAGCUAAAUACUGGCCAGAGACCGAUAGCGCACAAGUAGAGUGAUCGAAAGAUGAAAAGCACUUUGGAAAGAGAGUUAAAAAGUACGUGAAAUUGUUGAAAGGGAAGCGCUUGCGACCAGACUUGCCCGCAGUUGCUCAGCCGGUCCUUCGGCCGGUGUACUCUUCUGCGGUCAGGCCAGCAUCAGUUUGGGCGGUUGGAUAAAGGCCUUGGGAAUGUGGCUCUCUUCGGGGAGUGUUAUAGCCCUUGGUGCAAUACAAUCAGCCUGGACUGAGGCCCGCGCUUCGGCUAGGAUGCUGGCGUAAUGGUCGUAAGCGGCCCGUCUUG
rnacentral:rRNA from 2 species